rnacentral:lncRNA from 1 species
CCUAGCUGGCUGCCUCCUUCCACUGAUGCUCCAGCCAGCACUGGGGCACAGUAUGAUGGUCAGGGGCCAGGAGAUGGCCAGCCCUUCACAGCUUUCCCUGGCAUCAACCCAGGGUAACUUAGCUGAUGCCCUGUGUCUCAGCUCUUCAUCUGGAAAUGGGUAAGGAGGAUGCUGUUUGUGACAUUUGUGUGUCCACAUGUUGGCUAAAGG